rnacentral:pre_miRNA from 1 species
UGAGGUAGUAGGUUGUAUAGUCAGAGUUACACCAAUUUCUGGCGGACUGUACAACCCGCUAGCUUUCCC